AGUCCCGCAACGAGCGCAACCCUUAUUGUUAGUUGCCAUCAUUUAGUUGGGCACUCUAGCGAGACUGCCGGUGACAAACCGGAGGAAGGUGGGGAUGACGUCAAAUCAUCAUGCCCCUUAUGACCUGGGCUACACACGUGCUACAAUGGGAAGUACAACGAGUUGCGAAGUCGCGAGGCUAAGCUAAUCUCUUAAAGCUUCUCUCAGUUCGGAUUGUAGGCUGCAACUCGCCUACAUGAAGCCGGAAUCGCUAGUAAUCGCGGAUCAGCACGCCGCGGUGAAUACGUUCCCGGGCCUUGUACACACCGCCCGUCACACCACGAGAGUUUGUAACACCCGAAGUCGGUGAGGUAACCUUUUUGGAGCCAGCCGCCUAAGGUGGGAUAGAUGAUUGGGGUGAAGUCGUAACAAGGUAGCCGUAUCGGAAGGUGCGGCUGGAUCACCUCCUUUCUAAGGAA
rnacentral:rRNA from 1 species